rnacentral:rRNA from 1 species
CCUACGGGUGGCUGCAGUGGGGAAUAUUGGACAAUGGGCGAAAGCCUGAUCCAGCAAUGCCGCGUGUGUGAAGAAGGCCUUCGGGUCGUAAAGCACUUUCAGUGGGGAAGAAAGCCUUGGGGCUAAUACCCUCGAGGAAGGACAUCACCCACAGAAGAAGCACCGGCUAACUCCGUGCCAGCAGCCGCGGUAAUACGGAGGGUGCGAGCGUUAAUCGGAAUUACUGGGCGUAAAGCGCGCGUAGGCGGUCUGAUAAGCCGGUUGGGAAAGCCCCGGGCUCAACCUGGGGACGGCAUCCGGAACUGUCAGGCUAGAGUGCAGAAGAGGAAGGUAGAAUUCCCGGUGUAGCGGUGAAAUGCGUAGAGAUCGGGAGGAAUACCAGUGGCGAAGGCGGCCUUCUGGACUGACACUGACGCUGAGGUGCGAAAGCGUGGGUAGCAAACAGGAUUAGAUACCCGGGUAGUC